rnacentral:rRNA from 1 species
AUUGAACGCUGGCGGCAUGCUUUACACAUGCAAGUCGAACGGCAGCACGGGUGCUUGCACCUGGUGGCGAGUGGCGAACGGGUGAGUAAUGCAUCGGAACGUGCCCAUGAGUGGGGGAUAGCCCGGCGAAAGCCGGAUUAAUACCGCAUACGCCCUUAGGGGGGAAAGCGGGGGAUCUUCGGACCUCGCGCUAUUGGAGCGGCCGAUGUCGGAUUAGCUAGUAGGUGAGGUAAAGGCUCACCUAGGCGACGAUCCGUAGCUGGUCUGAGAGGAUGAUCAGCCACACUGGGACUGAGACACGGCCCAGACUCCUACGGGAGGCAGCAGUGGGGAAUUUUGGACAAUGGGCGCAAGCCUGAUCCAGCCAUGCCGCGUGAGUGAAGAAGG